ACAAAACAAAAAAAUUAGAGGGAAGUGAGUUUGAAGAAAUAAGCAGGGGGUAGAUUUUUUGUAGGGCUUUGACGACUGUGAAUAAUGGCUUUAUUAUUUUUUUUUUUUAGAAAGAGAGAGGAGCGAGACUGAGGAAAGAGGAGAGAGAGAUGAGAGACAGGGAGAGAUGACGGACGGAAAGAGGAGAGAAAGACACAUACACAGAGACCGAGAGAGAGGGAGAGAGAGAAGGGAAGGGAAGGAAGGGGAGGAGAGGGGAGGGAAGGGAGGGGAAGGGAAGGUGAAGAGAGAGAAAGGAGAGAGAAACAAGGAGAGAGAGAUGAGAGAGGGAGACAGAGAGAGGGAGACAGAGAGAGAGAGGGAGACAGAGAGAGAGGAGAGAAAGAGGGAGAGGAGAGAGAGAUGGGGGAGAGAAACAGGGAGAAAGAGACGGAGAGAGAGGAGAGAGACAGACUGAGAGAGAGAGGAGAGAAAGACUCAGAGAGAGAGAGGAACCCAAAGAGAGGGAGACAGAGAGAAGAGAGAGAGAGGAGAGAGAAAGCAGAGAGAAAGAGAAAGAGAGGAGAGAGAGAGGCAGGGACAGAGAGGAGAGAGACAGAUGGAGAGAGAGGAGACACACACACACACACACACACACACACACACACACACACACACACCAAGGAAAGGGAGACAGAGAGGAGAGAGAGAGCAGAGAGAGACACACACAGAGAGAGAGGAGAGAGAGAGAGCAAAGAGAGAGGAGAGAGAGGGGAGUAUGAAUAAUGACUUUAAUACAUUUUUUAAAUUAUAUAUUUUCUAAGAAAUCUCAACUCAUAUGUGUUUGUUUCCAUACCUAAUGUGAAUCCUUCAAUUCUCUAAAAAAAAAAAAAUAAACAAAAAUAAAAAAGAAGUUUUAGUGGAGAAAAACAUAAGGAUUAGCACAAGCAACAGAAGGAGAAAACUAGAAAAGGUAUUUACAAUUAAGAAAAUAUAUUGAAUCACACACUCUGAGAUUGUGGCUUCAUUUAAGUUAAAAACUCUAGGUGGGGUUGCAAAUAUUCCUACAGGUCCUCUUUCAUUUCUUAUUUUUCUCUGCAAGGAAGAGAAACUCCAGACUCCAAAAUUAUCAGAGAUCUGGGAUGGAGAAAAUAAAAGCAGAGUUCUGUGACCAAUUCUGCCUCUGACUGACUGUGAUUUUAAUGGUGUUUUAGCUUCUCCAUCUCCACUGUGAGGCUGUAAUUGCCUAGAGAUCUGGGUGGGUCCUCCACGGAAAGGUUUUAAGACAGCUACAAUUAGCUGUAAGUUAUCUUGACUUUUAAGAGAAAGAUUUCAGACUCUGUGGCUUAAGGGUUGUCUUUUUCCACCUUGCUUUGCCUCCAUGUUUCCUCAUAUGGCAGGAGGAAUAACAAAUACAGAAAGGACAGCUCUAGUUCCUUAAUCUUUUCUGCUUGUGACCAGAAUACUCUGUGCUGUUAACAUUUCACUUCUCAAUUUAUAAAAGGUCAUAAUAUUGUGUUGGUUCUGUGUGGUCUUAUUUUAGUAUUUUGUCUUAUUUUAUUGGGAAAAAAUGCAAAGAAUUAGCAUAGCAGAUUAUGGGGAAUUUUAUCUUUAUUAAUUGUUGAACUUGCCCUCUUCUCCUAGUUUCUUUAUCAUUGUGGACUGACGUUUUUGCAAAGUUCAUUUUCAGUUUCUAUUUUAUUUUUCCAGUGUUGGGGAAAGGUCUCAAGUAAGACAGAGAAGGCAGAAAUUCACCAGCAAAUCCAAACUGGGGAAAUCCCAGAGUUGAAGACAAGAAACUUAAGAAAACCUUACAAAAAGAAACAUGCUUGGGGCUACUCUUGUUUGCUGGUAGAAUGAUCUGUAGAAAAUUCUGAGAUAAGGUGUUAAAAGUAAGAAAAUGCAGGCAUAAUUAUGAUCAGACUGUCAACUUUCCCCUUGUCUAAUGGGAGCCAAAGAAUGAUGUUUUAAUGCUCAGCUUCUAGAUGAAAUAUGUAUUAGCAAACUAUUCUAGGCCUUUAUAUUCCUUUAUUUUUGUUUUCAAAAAUUCCCAUGACAAUAUUCUGGCAUCCAUGCCACAUGAGGAUACAUUUCGUGCCAAAACAAGCUUAGGAAAUCUGCAGUUUAAAGGAGGAAGGUAUGCUGCAGCUGAGAGCAGACGCUUCUAAGGCAUCUUGGGAAGGUAAGUUCAGAACGGCAUAUUCUUUGAAUACUGUCUGAGUAUUGACAAGAAGAUUCAAAUAGACGCUGCAAACAAUGGAGCGUUGUGAAUUGUGUACAUCUUGAGAAGUAAUUUGAGUGGCAUAUAUUUAAGACAAUCCAUCCAUAUUUGAGCAAACCCAAGCAAUUUAUAUUUCCUGGAUGUCAGCUUGAAUAGGAGGUUAGAAGAAUGGCGAUGCUUCAGUCUCAUUUUAGAUAAAAAUAAUGGAUAAUCAUGUAUUUACACAUUAAUUUAUGUCACAGAAGUAUGUCAAGUAUGAAAAUAGGACCUUUAUACACUACUGUUGAGAGGAUAAAUUGUUACUAACUUCCAUGAAGGACAAUUUGUAGAUGUAUAUACAAAAGCUUAGAAAUACUCAUGAUCUUUGAAUCAUCAAUUUUUCAAUAAAAUAAAAAGAUAAAUGUUCAGGAUUAUGUAACUUAUUCAUUAUGUUAUCACUGUGUUUGUAAUAGUGAAAAUCUGGAAAGAGCCUAUAAUACAGGCAGAAAUAGAGGAAUUUUUAAUAUGGUUUAUUCACACAAUAGAAUAUUUUGCAGCAUCUAUAAUGAUAAAAAUUUAUAAUUAUUGACAUUGAAAUAUGUUUUUAAUUAUAAAAUAAGACUACAAAAUAAAGCAUGAUCUCAUUCUGUAACAAGAUAUUGUUCAUU
rnacentral:lncRNA from 1 species